rnacentral:rRNA from 1 species
AUUGAACGCUGGCGGCAGGCCUAACACAUGCAAGUCGAACGAGUGGCGGACGGGUGAGUAAUGUCUGGGAAACUGCCUGAUGGAGGGGGAUAACUACUGGAAACGGUAGCUAAUACCGCAUACCCUCAGAUGUGCCCAGAUGUGAUUAGCUAGUAGGUGGGGUAAGGGCUAAACUAGGAGACGAUCCCUAGCUGGUCUGAGAGGAUGACCAGCCACACUGGAACUGAGACACGGUCCAGACUCCUACGGGAGGCAGCAGUGGGGAAUAUUGCACAAUGGGCGCAAGCCUGAUGCAGCCAUGCCGCGUGUGUGAAGAAGGCCUUCGGGUUGUAAAGUACUUUCAGCGAGGAGGCGUUACCCGCAGAAGAAGCACCGGCUAACUCCGUGCCAGCAGCCGCGGUAAUAC